rnacentral:rRNA from 1 species
GACGAACGCUGGCGGCGUGCUUAACACAUGCAAGUCGAACGAAGAGCGAUGGAAGCUUGCUUCUAUCAAUCUUAGUGGCGAACGGGUGAGUAACGCGUAAUCAACCUGCCCUUCAGAGGGGGACAACAGUUGGAAACGACUGCUAAUACCGCAUACGAUCUAAUCUUGGCAUCGAGGAUAGAUGAAAGGUGGCCUCUACAUGUAAGCUAUCACUGAAGGAGGGGGUUGCGUCUGAUUAGCUAGUUGGAGGGGUAACGGCCCACCAAGGCGAUGAUCAGUAGCCGGUCUGAGAGGAUGAACGGCCACAUUGGGACUGAGACACGGCCCAGACUCCUACGGGAGGCAGCAGUGGGGAAUCUUCCGCAAUGGACGAAAGUCUGACGGAGCAACGCCGCGUGAGUGAUGACGGCCUUCGGGUUGUAAAGCUCUGUUAAUCGGGACGAAAGGCCUUCU